GAUGAACGCUGACAGAAUGCUUAACACAUGCAAGUCAACUUGAAUUUGGGUUUUUAACUUAGGUUUGGGUGGCGGACGGGUGAGUAACGCGUAAAGAACUUGCCUCACAGCUAGGGACAACAUUUGGAAACGAAUGCUAAUACCUAAUAUUAUGAUAAUAGGGCAUCCUAUAAUUAUGAAAGCUAUAAGCGCUGUGAGAGAGCUUUGCGUCCCAUUAGCUAGUUGGAGAGGUAACGGCUCACCAAGGCGAUGAUGGGUAGCCGGUCUGAGAGGGUGAUCGGCCACAAGGGGACUGAGACACGGCCCUUACUCCUACGGGAGGCAGCAGUGGGGAAUAUUGGACAAUGGAUCGAGAGUCUGAUCCAGCAAUUCUGUGUGCACGAUGAAGUUUUUCGGAAUGUAAAGUGCUUUCAGUUGGGAAGAAACAAAUGACGGUACCAACAGAAGAAGUGACGGCUAAAUACGUG
rnacentral:rRNA from 1 species